rnacentral:rRNA from 1 species
GUGCCAGCAGCCGCGGUAAUACGGAGGGUGCAAGCGUUAAUCGGAAUUACUGGGCGUAAAGCGCGCGUAGGUGGCUUGAUAAGCCGGUUGUGAAAGCCCCGGGCUCAACCUGGGAACGGCAUCCGGAACUGUCAAGCUAGAGUGCAGGAGAGGAAGGUAGAAUUCCCGGUGUAGCGGUGAAAUGCGUAGAGAUCGGGAGGAAUACCAGUGGCGAAGGCGGCCUUCUGGACUGACACUGACACUGAGGUGCGAAAGCGUGGGUAGCAAACAGGAUUAGAUACCCUGGUAGUCCACGCCGUAAACGAUGUCGACCAGCCGUUGGGUGCCUAGCGCACUUUGUGGCGAAGUUAACGCGAUAAGUCGACCGCCUGGGGAGUACGGCCGCAAGGUUAAAACUCAAAUGAAUUGACGGGGGCCCGCACAAGCGGUGGAGCAUGUGGUUUAAUUCGAUGCAACGCGAAGAACCUUACCUACUCUUGACAUCCUGCGAACUUGUGAGAGAUCACUUGGUGCCUUCGGGAACGCAGAGACAGGUGCUGCAUGGCUGUCGUCAGCUCGUGUUGUGAAAUGUUGGGUUAAGUCCCGUAACGAGCGCAACCCUUGUCCUUAUUUGCCAGCGGGUUAUGCCGGGAACUCUAAGGAGACUGCCGGUGACAAACCGGAGGAAGGUGGGGACGACGUCAAGUCAUCAUGGCCCUUACGAGUAGGGCUACACACGUGCUACAAUGGCCGGUACAAAGGGUUGCGAGCUCGCGAGAGUCAGCUAAUCCCGAAAAGCCGGUCUCAGUCCGGAUCGGAGUCUGCAACUCGACUCCGUGAAGUCGGAAUCGCUAGUAAUCGUGAAUCAGAAUGUCACGGUGAAUACGUUCCCGGGCCUUGUACACACCGCCCGUCACACCAUGGGAGUGGACUGCACCAGAAGUGGUUAGCCUAACGCGAGAGGGCGAUCACCACGGUGUGGUUCAUGACUGGGGUGAAGUCGUAACAAGGUAACC